rnacentral:lncRNA from 1 species
CUCCGCCCUGGCCACGUCCCCGGGUCCCCCGAGUGCAAAGCUGGGGUUCGAGUGGGAAAGGGAAGUGAGACAACAAGCGAGUACGAGGGCGUGAGUGCGGAUACACACAGGGCAGGUUAGGUACCGAAAAACCCCGCCUCUCCCCGAACUCGCUCCUCGGACCAGCCUGCAGCUCCGGCACUCCAGGGCUCCCUGCGCCAGGACAAAGCUACCGUGGCCUCUCCGCGAGCGCCGGGCGCCUCGCUGGUCGCCCGGGCUCCUCGGUCUCCCUUAGCCUCGACCCAGUCCCAAAGGGAUCUGAGACAUCCGAGGGACGGAGGGAACUCCGGGCCAGGAGCCCCCAGUCCCGAUCCCCCGCGCCCUCGCCGGGAGCCGCGACUCACCUGUUCAGCACUUUGCGGAUCCUCUGGCGCACGCCAGCCCGGGAGGAAGCGGACAGGCUCCCGCCACCGCCACCGCUGCCCUCGGCCGGCAGGUUCUCUAUGGUGGUCACCACAUGGUUCGGCGGGGCUGGCGGGGGGAGGCGGAGGCGCAGCGGCGAUCAGAAGGCAGCCGGGCGCAUCGUGCGCCGGCUCCGGGCCCGGGAACGCGCAGAAGACCCGGCCGAGCGGCCCCGGCCCUGGAGGCGGUGCUGCCCGUGAAGCGGAGAGGUUUGUACAGGAUGCCCUGAAGAAUUGCAACAAAAAGAACAAGGCUUGGAACCUAUGGACAUUAAAAUUCCAAUAGAAUGUAAUGAGUUUGCCCGCGGUGGACCAGCCAAAGGUUGCAGACAUGAACAAACUGCACUUUAACAGAACCUGGCAGCAAAUCAUUGUAGGAGUCUCUCUAUUAAAACAACACUUAAGGUAAUUUCAGGUGUCUUCCUUGAAUGACUGGUUGCUUCAGUGCCCUAUUCCUUCACCUUUGGCUUGCUUCCCUUUGAGUGUUUUUGGCAUGUCACAACUUGCUGCUGUGUCUGCACUUCAAUAACUGCACUUACAGCUGGUCAUUUCUCUAGAGUACUACUGAAUCCAAGUGAUCUAAAUCUCCACUGGGUUAGGAAGGAA